rnacentral:rRNA from 1 species
UACGUAGGCAGCAAGCGUUGUUCGGAGUUACUGGGCGUAAAGGGUGCGUAGGCGGCUUUUUAAGUUUGGUGUGAAAUCUCCCGGCUCAACUGGGAGGGUGCGCCGAAUACUGAGAAGCUAGAGUGUGGGAGAGGAAAGUGGAAUUCCUGGUGUAGCGGUGAAAUGCGUAGAUAUCAGGAGGAACACCGGUGGUGUAAACGGCUUUCUGGACCAUAACUGACGCUGAGGCACGAAAGCGUGGGGAGCAAACAGG